AGCACGCUGAAAACACCGGUUCUCGUUCGAUCACCGAAGUUAAGCAUCGUAGAGCCAGGUCAGUACUUAGAUGGGGGACCGCUUGGGAACACCUGGUACUGUAAG